rnacentral:rRNA from 1 species
AAAGUGAAUAGUGAAAUCUGGUGGCUCAACCAUUCAGGCUAUUAUUCAAACUCACGGACUCGAGAAUGGUAGAGGUAACUGGAAUUUCCAGUGUAGGGGUGACAUCCGUAGAUAUUGGAAGGAACACCGAUGGCGUAGGCAGUCUACUGGCUCAUUUUCUGACACUAAGGCACGAAAGCGUGGGGAGCGAACGGGAUUAGAUACCCCGGUAGUCCACGCCGUAAACGAUGGAUGCUA